rnacentral:rRNA from 1 species
AUUGAACGCUGGCGGAAUGCUUUACACAUGCAAGUCGAACGGCAGCACGGGGGCAACCCUGGUGGCGAGUGGCGAACGGGUGAGUAAUACAUCGGAACGUGCCCGGUCGUGGGGGAUAACGUAGCGAAAGUUACGCUAAUACCGCAUACGAUCUGAGGAUGAAAGCGGGGGACCUUCGGGCCUCGCGCGAUCGGAGCGGCCGAUGUCAGAUUAGGUAGUUGGUGGGGUAAAGGCCUACCAAGCCGACGAUCUGUAGCUGGUCUGAGAGGACGACCAGCCACACUGGGACUGAGACACGGCCCAGACUCCUACGGGAGGAAGCAGUGGGGAAUUUUGGACAAUGGGCGAAAGCCUGAUCCAGCCAUUCCGCGUGCAGGACGAAGGACUUCGGGUUGUAAACUGCUUUUGUAUGGAACGAAAAGGCUCUGGCUAAUACCUGGGGAUCAUGACGGUACCGUAAGAAUAAGCACCGGCUAACUACGUG